rnacentral:rRNA from 1 species
AGUGAACGCUGGCGGUAGGCCUAACACAUGCAAGUCGAACGGCAGCACAGUAAGAGCUUGCUCUUACGGGUGGCGAGUGGCGUACGGGUGAGGAAUACAUCGGAACCUACUUUUUCGUGGGGGAUAACGUAGGGAAACUUACGCUAAUACCGCAUACGACCUACGGGUGAAAGCAGGGGAUCUUCGGACCUUGCGCGAUUGAAUUAGCCGAUGUCGGAUUAGCUAGUUGGCGGGGUAAAGGCCCACCAAGGCGACGAUCCGUAGCUGGUCUGAGAGGAUGAUCAGCCACACUGGAACGGAGACACGGUCAAGACUCCUACGGGAGGCAGCAGUGGGGAAUAUUGGACAAUGGGCGCAAGCCUGAUCCAGCCAUACCGCGUGGGUGAAGAAGGCCUUCGGGUUGUAAAGCCCUUUUGUUGGGAAAGAAAAGCAGCAGGUUAAUACCCCGCUGUUCUGACGGUACCCAAAGAAUAAGCACCGGCUAACUUCGUG